rnacentral:tRNA from 1 species
GGACAGGUGGCAGAGUGGUCGAAUGCGCCGGACUCGAAAUCCGGUGUACGUGCAAACGUACCGUGAGUUCGAAUCUCACCCUGUCCGCCA